UAUGCAACCUACCUUUUACUGGGGGAUAGCCCGGAGAAAUCUGGAUUAAUACCCCAUAGUACCUAAGGAUCGAUUGGUUUUUAGUUUAAAGAUUUAUCGGUAAAAGAUGGGCAUGCGUCUGAUUAGCUAGUUGGCGGGGUAACGGCCCACCAAGGCGACGAUCAGUAGGGGUUCUGAGAGGAAGGUCCCCCACACUGGCACUGAGAUACGGGCCAGACUCCUACGGGAGGCAGCAGUAGGGAAUAUUGGGCAAUGGUCGCAAGACUGACCCAGCCAUGCCGCGUGCAGGAAGACGGCCCUCUGGGUUGUAAACUGCUUUUAUCUGGGAAGAAAAAGUCCAUGCGUGGAAAAUUGCCGGUACCAGAUGAAUAAGCACCGGCUAACUCCGUGCCA
rnacentral:rRNA from 1 species